rnacentral:rRNA from 1 species
UGGGGAAUAUUGCACAAUGGGGGAAACCCUGAUGCAGCGACGCCGCGUGAGCGAUGAAGGCUUUCGAGUCGUAAAGCUCUGUCCUAUGGGAAGAUAAUGACGGUACCCUGUGAGGAAGCCCCGGCUAACUACGUGCCAGCAGCCGCGGUAAUACGUAGGGGGCUAGCGUUAUCCGGAUUUACUGGGCGUAAAGGGUGCGUAGGUGGUCUUUCAAGUCGGUGGUUAAAGGCUACGGCUCAACCGUAGUUAGCCUCCGAAACUGGAAGACUUGAGUGCAGGAGAGGAAAGUGGAAUUCCCAGUGUAGCGGUGAAAUGCGUAGAUAUUGGGAGGAACACCAGUAGCGAAGGCGGCUUUCUGGACUGCAACUGACACUGAGGCACGAAAGCGUGGGUAGCAAACAGG